rnacentral:rRNA from 1 species
UACGUAGGGCGCAAGCGUUGUCCGGAAUUAUUGGGCGUAAAGCGCGCGUAGGCGGCUCGGUCAGUCGGGUGUGAAAUCCCUGGGCUCAACCUGGGAACUGCAUUCGAUACUGCCGAGCUAGAGUGUGGGAGAGGGUAGUGGAAUUCCCGGUGUAGUGGUGAAAUGCGUAGAUAUCGGGAGGAACACCAGUGGCGAAGGCGACUACCUGGCCUGUUCUUGACGCUGAGGCGCGAAAGCUAGGGGAGCAAACGGG